rnacentral:ncRNA from 1 species
UCAUGCGUGAGCCGGUGCCUGCUGUCUUGUCUUCCCGGGUUGGUUCCCCAGAGGGCAAGGCGGCAUGGCUGAGAUCAUACGGCUGUUAACUUGAUCUGGAUAAUACCAGCGAAAGGAUCAUGCUUGCUCCCCCC